rnacentral:tRNA from 1 species
GCACCCGUGGUGGAAUCGGCAGACACGCAAGUUUCAGGUACUUGUGCCAUUAUGGCGUGAAGGUUCAACUCCUUUCGGGUGCACCA